rnacentral:lncRNA from 1 species
CAGAUUCAUGCCCUCCCUCGAGUUCUGGCUAGGAGGCUUCUCAGUCACUUCAAAUUGUUACAAAGUUCAGCUGGAGAUUUCCUUCUCCCUGUAGCCUUUCCCAAUGCCUCUGUCUGCCCUCCCAAAAGACCUCUGUGAGGCCAGGCAAAAACGGCUUGUUAGGGGACCCAGUGAGCUCCCAGUGCUUUUCCUGCUGCUUCUCCUAACACUGUAUGUUUCUUGGCUCUCUAAACUCACUCAGCUCCAGUGUUUCUGCAACAGCAUGAGCUCGGCCAGUGAAAUGCAG